rnacentral:rRNA from 1 species
UACGUAGGGUGCAGGCGUUAAUCGGAAUUACUGGGCGUAAAGCGUGCGCAGGCGGCUUCCUAAGUCAGGUGUGAAAUCCCCGGGCUUAACCUGGGAACUGCGUUUGAAACUGGGGGGCUAGAGUGCGGCAGAGGGGGGUGGAAUUCCACGUGUAGCAGUGAAAUGCGUAGAUAUGUGGAGGAACACCGAUGGCGAAGGCAGCCCCCUGGGCCUGCACUGACGCUCAUGCACGAAAGCGUGGGGAGCAAACAGG